rnacentral:rRNA from 1 species
CCUACGGGUGGCAGCAGUGAGGAAUAUUGGUCAAUGGACGAGAGUCUGAACCAGCCAAGUAGCGUGAAGGAUGACUGCCCUAUGGGUUGUAAACUUCUUUUAUAUGGGAAUAAACUGUUCCACGUGUGGGAUUUUGUAUGUACCAUAUGAAUAAGGAUCGGCUAACUCCGUGCCAGCAGCCGCGGUAAUACGGAGGAUCCGAGCGUUAUCCGGAUUUAUUGGGUUUAAAGGGAGCGUAGGUGGAUUGUUAAGUCAGUUGUGAAAGUUUGGGGCUCAACCGUAAAAUUGCAGUUGAAACUGGCAGUCUUGAGUACAGUAGAGGUGGGCGGAAUUCGUGGUGUAGCGGUGAAAUGCUUAGAUAUCACGAAGAACUCCGAUUGCGAAGGCAGUUCACUGGACUGCAACUGACACUGAGGCUCGAAAGUGUGGGUAUCAAACAGGAUUAGAUACCCCUGUAGUC